GACGAACGCUGGCGGCGUGCUUAACACAUGCAAGUCGAACGGAAAGGCCCUGCUUGCAGGGUGCUCGAGUGGCGAACGGGUGAGUAACACGUGGGUGAUCUGCCCCUUACUUUGGGAUAAGCCUGGGAAACUGGGUCUAAUACUGGAUAGGACCAUGCUGUAGGUGGUGUGGUGGAAAGAUUAGUUUCGGUAAGGGAUGAGCUCGCGGCCUAUCAGCUUGUUGGUGGGGUAAUGGCCUACCAAGGCGUCGACGGGUAGCCGGCCUGAGAGGGUGGACGGCCAGAUUGGGCUGGGAAGGCGGCCCAGGCCCCAAUGGGGGGGGGGGGGGGGGAGGGUGAAAAAGGGGGCGGGGGCGUAGGCAGGCGACGCGGCGGGGGGGGGGGGGUCCUUGGGGUGGGAAGCCCCUUCCCCCCAGGCCAAGGCGCUUGUGGUCGGGGUGGGGAGAAGAAAAACCCGCCAAAACCGCG
rnacentral:rRNA from 1 species